rnacentral:rRNA from 1 species
UACGUAGGGUGCGAGCGUUAAUCGGAAUUACUGGGCGUAAAGAGUGCGUAGGCGGUUUCUCAAGUCCGCUGUGAAAUCCCCGGGCUCAACCUGGGAAUGGCAGUGGAAACUAGGAGACUUGAAUCUGGCAGAGGGGGGUGGAAUUCCACGUGUAGCAGUGGAAAUGCGUAGAGAUGUGGAGGAACACCGAUGGCGAAGGCAGCCCCCUGGGCGUGAGCAUUGACGCUCAGCACGAAAGCGUGGGGAGGCAAACCAGG